GACCAUGGUCAGGACGAACGCUGGCGGCGUGCCUAACACAUGCAAGUCGAACGGAGAAUUUUAUUUCGGUAGAAUUCUUAGUGGCGAACGGGUGAGUAACGCGUAGGCAACCUGCCCUUUAGACGGGGACAACAUUCCGAAAGGAGUGCUAAUACCGGAUGUGAUCAUCGUGCCGCAUGGCAGGAUGAAGAAAGAUGGCCUCUACAAGUAAGCUAUCGCUAAAGGAUGGGCCUGCGUCUGAUUAG
rnacentral:rRNA from 1 species